rnacentral:rRNA from 1 species
UACAGAGGUCCCAAGCGUUGUUCGGAUUCACUGGGCGUAAAGGGUGCGUAGGUGGUGAGGUAAGUCGGAUGUGAAAUCUCGGAGCUUAACUCCGAAACUGCAUUCGAUACUGCCGUGCUUGAGGACUGGAGAGGAGACUGGAAUUUACGGUGUAGCGGUGAAAUGCGUAGAUAUCGUAAGGAAGACCAGUGGCGAAGGCGGGUCUCUGGACAGUUCCUGACGCUGAGGCACGAAGGCCAGGGGAGCAAACGGG